rnacentral:miRNA from 1 species
UCACUGAGUCUGCCCCCUAA